rnacentral:rRNA from 1 species
CCUACGGGUGGCAGCAGUCGAGAAUCAUUCACAAUGGGGGAAACCCUGAUGGUGCGACGCCGCGUGGGGGAAUGAAGGUCUUCGGAUUGUAAACCCCUGUCAUGUGGGAGCAAAUUAUAAAGAUAGUACCACAAGAGGAAGAGACGGCUAACUCUGUGCCAGCAGCCGCGGUCAUACAGAGGUCUCAAGCGUUGUUCGGAAUCACUGGGCGUAAAGGGUGCGUAGGCUGGUUCGUAAGGCGUGUGUGAAAGGCGCGGGCUCAACCCGCGGACGGCACAUGAUACUGCGAGACUAGAGUAAUGGAGGAGGAACCGGAAUUCUCGGUGUAGCAGUGAAAUGCAUAGAUAUCGAGAGGAACACUCGUGGCGAAGGCAGGUUCCUGGACAUUAACUGACGCUGAGGCACGAAGGCCAGGGGAGCGAAAGGGAUUAGAUACCCGGGUAGUC